ACACUUGUACUGAAUUUGAAUUUCUUAGCAUGGAGUUAACUCUUCUAGAACUUUGAGCAGAGCGUCAUCAGGAAGUCCAUGCACGUACGGGUGCCAUAACGCAGGCUGUGACAACAGUUCUCCAGAAGCGAGCGUCAAAUAUCUUCAUACUUAUAAACACGAAUACAGCAGUAUUACACAAAGUACAACAACACUUGUAGAUAUAGUACAACCGAUACAAUACGUCAGCAGUACGCGCAAUCGAGGCGACAGCUUUGAAUCGGCAAUAAUUUAUCGCAAAUAUCUAAAACUUACACGUAAACUGUGGCAGUUAAGAACCAAUAAAUCUCGCACGACAAAUAAGAUACAAACACAUCUAUGCAAUGACAGGCCGAUGAGAGCGUGCUGCAUGUCACAUACGCCCGAGGGAAUGCAAUGCAACGACGCAAUUUGGACGCGAAAUGCAAAGUGCAAAAAACUCCCAUAGAAGAUUAAUUGGGCGUUCCACAAGUUCAACAAGUUAUUUUUAUCAAUCACAGAGAACUAAAAUUGUGUUCCACAAGUUCAACCAAGUGAAAUCGAAGCUUUGUCGCUUGAUGUUUCUAUGGAAAAGGCGAGCUCCCAAAUCUUCUUCAAUGUAAAACCUGUUGCGAUUAAAGUAUGGAUAUUUUUUCGGAUUUUUUGCCGACAUAUUUGAUAUUUGACAGCAAGCUACGUCAUCACAACUUACCAAUUGGUGAGGUUUCUCAUUCAAACUAAAUAGUUCCCGAAUUUUUUUGAGUUCAUCAAGUCGCAAGUGAUAAUCAAAUUUCUUGAGGAACUUUUCAGAAGAAAAAAAAUGAAGAUGAACAGCUUGAAAGCAGAAAUGACAGUCCUUAACCAAAAAAUCUACGUCAAAAAGUGAAGAACAGGACAUUAAAAAAACGGACAACACUGUGUUUACUAACAAUAAAGGACCAUUUUGAUCGAAUGAAGAGUUCACUAAAGAUCUUAUCGAUGGUAUUUUGCCUACCUACAGUAAAUUUUAAGAACCAUGCUUCGAGAUGGUCCGCCCUUUUCAUGGCUGUAACUCGAAACCUAUUUAAGAUAUCGAUUUGAAAUUUUAGUAUAUUAUUUGUAAAGGUAUAAACUAACUAAAUAUAAAAAAUCCAAAAUUUCCCACUAGGGGGGCACAACUUCGUAAGCCUCUAAGAUUAUAUUUUUCUAAGCAAGAUUGCACGAAUGUUAAAAAUCGAACAUUUUUGACCACUUGUAAGCCAAAAUGUUCGGCUUCUUGCGUAGUACACAUGGCAGGAUUUCCAUACAAAUUUCUGUAGAAGCUCUGGGAAGCACAUAAAAUCACAGGUAUUCCAAAAUAAUUAAAUUCAAACACGCAUUGCUUGGCGCCGUUGCGAAAAAAUGCAAAACAGUAGCAAGCAAUCAACGACAAUUAGGUGAGACGCAAAGAACGACGUACGAAGGAUUCGGAAAUAGGGAAAAAAGGAAAUAAAAAAUUCAAAAAAAAGCGAUAAAGAAACAUUCACCAAUCAGCAGAGACUAAUUAGCGACGCAGCCGCAGACCACAGGAACUGCGAGUUAUUAUGAGAAAAGGCGAAACAUAAAACACAGCAAGCAAAUCAUUGACUCCAAACCAAUGAAAGUGAGAAAAAAACUCAAACAAAAACGGAGCAUUGAAACAUUCAAGCAAUUUAAGAAUCAGAGCACGCUAUAUAACCGCAAAUUGAAUGCCACAAACGAUAAUAAGACGCAACACAACAAGAUUACUAUAAUUACGGUGAAAUAAAAAACAUAUAUACGAGCACUGGGAAUACCCAGUCAGACGGAAACGUGACCACAAUGGAGAGACAGCAAAACAUAUUUAUGCGACUGACUGCUGUUCGUGGGAAUCAAGCGCGUAGGGGUAAGGAAGCGUUGGUACAGACAUAACCAAGAAGGGAAGUGCUGUAGAUAUGAAUUUUGUAGAGAUUGCUGCAAACAGACCGAAGCUCAAAAAUAAGAAAUUUGUACAAGAACGGUAAAUAGCACAUUUGAUAGAUCCAAAGAGCUCUUUUCCGCCACUUCAGACAAUCUAACUCCACUUUAAUCGUAGUUAUGUUUUGACAACGAUCUCAGCUAAAGUGAAGAAUGCCUAGAAGCGACCUGAUAAAUAGGAGUAGUUAGGAUGGGAUACUGGAAAGAAUUUUCUACGACAAAUGCAUUGGAUAUGACUGGGUCUAACCUAGAUAGAUUUUUAUUUCACUUCUAAGCCUCACUUUUAUUGCAAAAAAACUUGUGUUUAGCAUUUCCAAUUCAACCUCGGCUUUGGUUCAAGUAAGGCAUUGGAGGUAUAUAAAUAUAUGCAAUAAAUUAUUGUUUACUAUAAAAAGCCUGAACUAAAUUAAUCAGCGCUUAGAACCUCAAAACAAUUUCAUAAGAAAAUUGAUUUACAACUGAUUUUAUAACACGAUCAUUAAACGUUUUAAUUUGGACACAUAAAUUGCCACUAAUUGUUGUUUUCGCUAACAAGGCGAACAGUGACAGUCUUCUGAAGAACAAAACAAUUUUAAUAAUUGUUUACACACUUUCUAUGAGUCUGAUCAAAGUGAGAGAAAGAAGCGAGAAGAUUGCGAAAUUAUAUUUUUUUUUCAUACAAAACUGAUUUAUUAUUGAUAAUAUAUGUAUGUAUCUCAUUUACUAUUUAUUUUCAUUUUACGAAUUUAUUUCACCACUAUACCACAAACAUAUGUUAAAAAGUUUGAUAUUCAUUUGUUGGGAGAGUUUAUAAAAUAUAUUUUAGACAUGUUUGAAGUAUCAUUAAAGAAUUUUAAUUAAUAACUAGUAUCCAA